AAUUUCUCAACCAUAGGUUGGAUGUGGGGUUGCUGCUGGCUCAGGUCAGCUCCCCUUAAAUGCAUUAGCUGUGGACACUGUCGUCUAUUGGUGUGAUAAUUAUCUACGCCGUUGGAUGGAUGGAACCACUGCGUCUCACUCAAGAGACAAUACAUGACA
rnacentral:misc_RNA from 1 species